UCCAGUCCAGUUUAUAGCUGAGUGGUGUGAACAGCUCUUAACUCCUCUGUGGAACCAGUCCAGUUUGGCUGAGUGGUGUGAACAGCUCUUAACUCCUCUGUGGAACCAGGCCAGUCCAGUUUGGCUGAGUGGUGUGAACAGCUCUUAACUCCUCUGUGGAACCAGGCCAGUUUGGCUGAGUGGUGUGAACAGCUCUUAACUCCUCUGUGGAACCAGACCAGUCCAGUUUGGCUGAGUGGUGUGAACAGCUCUUAACUCCUCUGUGGAACCAGGCCAGUCCAGUUUGGCUGAGUGGUGUGAACAGCUCUUAACUCCUCUGUGGAACCCAGCCAGUCCAGUUUGGCUGAGUGGUGUGAACAGCUCUUAACCCCUCUGUCCUGUCAGUAUGAGAACAGCCACUUUUUGAGUAUGAAUGUUAUUAUGUGUAAAGUGUGAAGUGCAACACUGCAGCAUACGUCAUCAGUCACUGAGCCUUGACCAAAACACUCUUUGGGUGUGUCCCAAAUGGCUCCCUAUUCCCCACAGGGCUUUGGUCUAAAGUAGUGCACUAUGUAGGGAAUAGGGUGCCAGCCCUGGUCUAAAGUAGUGCACUAUGUAGGGAAUAGGGUGCCAGCCCUGGUCUAAAGUAGUGCACUAUGUAGGGAAUAGGGUGCCAGCCCUGGUCUAAAGUAGUGCACUAUGUAGGGAAUAGGGUGCCAUUUGGGAUGUAGUAUCACCUGUGUAGAACCUAUGCAACACUUGACUUAGAAAGUCGUCUUAGACAUGGGACAGCCAGGGGACAGGGUUUACCAUGUAUAUUAUGUAUUAGACGAAUAAAUAUCUCCUCACGUUCUGUUGCUGUUCUGUUGUUGGCAGGCCGUCUGUGGUGUGGGAUGGGGAUUUAGCCCGGGAACCACUGUGAAUACUAUCUCUCUCUCUCUCGUUCACUAUCGUCUCGGUUUAAGUGAAACAAUAGUGAACCAGAGAAUGAUAUGACAGUUUGGAUUUCGGACGACUGACGACCGGGUUUGAGGAGAGGAUGUCGAGAGGUCGGUAGAAAACACAAAUGAAAGUAGCUCUUCUCAGGUCUCAAGAACAUAACUGAUUCUAGUACUGCAUGUCAUGCAGACGUGUUGUAAAAUAUCUCUACAGUUAACUGGCGCUAACUGGUGGUGAGUGCUGCCACCUAGUGGAUCUUAACAGACACACACAAGUACAUUUGGAAUCCUCCGUGACAAGACAACAAGCUGUGUUGGGAUCGAGAGGAAGACAAAACGACACACAGAGACAAUUUAAUGCAACCUCUUUAAUAAAAAUAAAAAAGAAGUUAUCUUUCAUUCUCACACCCCACCAGCAUCCAUGUCAUUACAAUUGAUGGAAUAAACUUGUGUAUUUUAAGAAAAAAAA